ACAGAGGUCCCAAGCGUUGUUCGGAUUCACUGGGUUUAAAGGGUGCGUAGGUGGGCAGGUAAGUCAGUGAUGAAAUCUCCGGGCUUAACCCGGAAACUGCCGUUGAUACUAUUUGUCUUGAAUAUUGUGGAGGUAAGCGGAAUAUGUCAUGUAGCGGUGAAAUGCUUAGAUAUGACAUAGAACACCAAUUGCGAAGGCAGCUUACUACACAACGAUUGACGCUGAGGCACGAAAGCGUGGGGAUCAAACAGGA
rnacentral:rRNA from 1 species